CUUGGUCUAGAGGAAGUAAAAGUCGUAACAAGGUUUCCGUAGGUGAACCUGCGGAAGGAUCAUUAAACAAAUUUUAAUUCCACCGUCAACCAACACAAAUCGUAUUGCGUCAGCAAUAUGAUUUGUAUUGGUUGCUUUUUCUUUUUCUUUUUUCACUGCCAACUGCUUACGCAGUUGAGUUGUAGAUAUUACAUUCAACUGCGUAAGCAGUUGGCUCGUAAAGAAAAAGAAAAGAAAAGAGUUAUUGCGAUAGCUAACGCCAUCGCAAUAACACUUUUCGGUACAGACGAUAUAUAUGUUGACGAACACAGACAAAUAAUGUAAACAACUUUUAACAAUGGAUCUCUUGGCUCUUA
rnacentral:misc_RNA from 1 species